rnacentral:tRNA from 5 species
GCCCGGGUGGCGAAAUUGGUAGACGCAAGGGACUUAAAAUCCCUCGGUGGCAACACCGUGCCGGUUCGAUUCCGGCCCCGGGCACCA